rnacentral:misc_RNA from 2 species
AACGCACAUUGCGCCCCUUGGUAUUCCGGGGGGCAUGCCUGUUCGAGCGUCAUUUCAACCCUCACGCGUAGCGUGGUCUUGGGCUCUGCCGGCAACGGCUGGCCUUAAAAUCAGUGGCGGUGCCAUCGAGCUCUACGCGUAGUAAUAAACCCCUCGCGUGUGAGUCUCGGCGGUCGCUUGCCAGCAACCCCCAAUUUUUUAUGGUUGACCUCGAAUCAGGUAGGGAUACCCGCUGAACUUAA